rnacentral:rRNA from 1 species
GAUGAACGCUGGCGGCGUGCUUAACACAUGCAAGUCGAACGGAAAGGCCACAGCUUGCUGUGGUACUCGAGUGGCGAACGGGUGAGUAACACGUGGGUGAUCUGCCCUGUACUUCGGGAUAAGCUUGGGAAACUGGGUCUAAUACCGGAUAUGACCACUUUUUGGAUGGGGUGGUGGAAAGCUUUUGUGGUAUGGGAUGAGCUCGCGGCCUAUCAGCUUGUUGGUGGGGUAAUGGCCUACCAAGGCGUCGACGGGUAGCCGGCCUGAGAGGGUGUACGGCCACAUUGGGACUGAGAUACGGCCCAGACUCCUACGGGAGGCAGCAGUGGGGAAUAUUGCACAAUGGGCGCAAGCCUGAUGCAGCGACGCCGCGUGGGGGAUGACGGCCUUCGGGUUGUAAACUCCUUUCGCCAGGGACGAAGCGUAAGUGACGGUACCUGGAUAAGAAGCACCGGCUAACUACGUGCCAGCCGCCGCCGUAACAC